rnacentral:rRNA from 1 species
UACGUAGGUCCCAAGCGUUGUCCGGAUCUAUUGGGCGUAAAGCGAGCGCAGGUGGUUUAUUAAGUCUGGUGUAAAAGGCAGUGGCUCAACCAUUGUAUGCAUUGGAAACUGGUAGACUUGAGUGCAGGAGAGGAGAGUGGAAUUCCAUGUGUAGCGGUGAAAUGCGUAGAUAUAUGGAGGAACACCGGUGGCGAAAGCGGCUCUCUGGCCUGUAACUGACACUGAGGCUUGAAAGCGUGGGGAGCAAACAGG